rnacentral:misc_RNA from 1 species
UUUCCGUAGGUGAACCUGCGGAAGGAUCAUUAUUGAAUGAACUUGGCGUGGUUGUGCUGGCCCUCUCGGGGGCAUGUGCUCACUCGCCAUUCUCAUCUCUCCACCUGUGCACCUCUUGUAGACUUGGACUUGACUUUCCGAGGGAACUCGGUCGGGAGGACUGCUGGCAAUUCAGCUGGCUGUCCUCGCAUUUCCAAGCCUACGUUUUUCAUAUACCCCAUUGUAUGUAACAGAAUGUAUCAUUAGGCCCUUGUGCCUAUAAAACUUAUACAACUUUCAGCAACGGAUCUCUUGGCUCUC